AGGUAAACACAUGAAUAUUGAUUCCCUGCUCACGAGAUAAACCUUCAUUGUGGCAGUAAUGGAUGCAGUUUACAAACAGAAAAGGAGAUGCGUGUGCUUUUGUUGCCCUUUUACUCUCCUUCAGUUCUGGUUGUUAAGGCAUAAGAAGUAGAAUACAAUCUUAUGAAAAGCUGAGAACCCUGAAGGUAAAAAGCCUGAAAAGUAGAACGUGUGAGUAAAAUGUGUUGAAGCAGCAGUUCAGCUAAGGUUUUUGUGAAGCGUCUCAGAAAUGUCAAUAAAGCAUUGGAAAAAGAAUAAGAUGAGCAAGAAAAAGGCUAAAAAGAAGAUGUUUAGCUGAGCUGAAAGGGAAAGUUCUUGGAAAGAGAGUAUUGGUUCAAAGGCUGAUCAAAUAUAAAGGGCUGAAAAGUGUUUUCAUGACUACCUUGACAAAAAACAGAUGCAUUAAUUUGCAUCACUGCAGAUGAUGCAAAUUUUGAAGGCACUGAUGGUUUGGAACAUUUCUGGACUAUUAUGCAGUCAGAACUUAGGGAAAAUGAAGUUUGAAAUAAAACUAAAUGCAACUAAAACUAAUGCAACUAAAUAAAACUAACGCAACUAAAUGCAAUUAAAAAGAACUCUAGCUGUAAUCUGGAAUUCUGUCAAAAACAUCAGAUGAAGUGAAAGUACCCUUUAAUCAGCAUGUACAAGUUCAAGCCACCACUGCAACAGGUAUAGUGAAGAUGUAUGUGUUCAGGGGUCCAUUGAUGUUUCUGCAUGUUGCUGUAUUUCAGGUAUUUAAUGAGUGUGCUCCAGGUGUACAAGGUUUGUCUAGCCUACUAAUAAUAAAGCUGAGGAGGAUAUAUAGUUCCAGCUUUGCAUACAGAAAAAAAAAA